rnacentral:lncRNA from 1 species
CUCUUCCUGCUUGAGGAGCUCAAGGUGAGCCUUGGGCCUGAUGGCUGCACGGAAAACCUCUCUACAUGUCAGCAGAGCUCAAAGCCAAGAGAAAUCAUUUGACAGAACCUGGAGUCAUCUUUGGUUGUCAUGAUGGGAGGAUGCAGGAGGAUGGAAGGAGUUAUGUGAUCUGUACCUGGCGUGAAGAUAACAAGGAUAUUGAUACACAGCACAGCACAGCCCACUCACUGAACAUAUCCCUACCCUCCCCAAGCCAGCAGUAACAAGGUUGAAAAACCCUGAGGUGUAAGUUGUGAAUUAAAAACUGAGCAAGUUGUGACAAAGUACUGGGACAAUGGAAGGAUGAGGUGGUGCCAGAGUCUUUUGGGAAAUCAGGGAAACCUCACAUGGCCCAUCUCCAUACAAGAUUAAACUUCAAGAAAUUUCUGGGACACUUCUAUGUGCUUUGCAACCUUCUGUGACCAGCGAGAGGCCUGGGGGGAGUCAGUACUUUCCUACUGUAUUUAUACCUGGCAUAACUAGCAUGACAUUAACCUAGAGAUUAUUAGGAAUGAGAUAAUAAAUACUAAGCUAUAUAAUCAAAGGUGUGCGGCUGCUCCAAUUAAAAUCUACAGUUGCCUGUGAACCGGAUUCAGGGGCACAGGGUGGUGACUAGAUAAAUGUUCACUCAAUGAAGAAAAGAAUAAAUAGUUUUUAAUUGAAUG